AAAAGACUUAGUCCUAACCUUACAGUUGGCCCCUAUUAGACAUAUACAUGCAAGUAUCUGCGCCCCAGUGUAAAUGCCCUCAACCUCCCCAAUGAGACAAGAGGAGCGGGCAUCAGGCUCGCCGCACUAUAACCGUAGGCUGCCAAAGACGCCUUGCUCAGCCACCCCCCCACGGGCAAUCAGCAGUAAUUAACAUUAAGCAAUGAGCGAAAGCUUGACUUAGCCAUAGUAGAGAUUAAGGGUUGGUAAAUCUUGUGCCAGCCACCGCGGUCACACAAGGAACCCAAGUCAACUGUUAUCCGGCGUAAAGAGUGGGUACCACCUAUCACAAGACUAUAGCCAAAAUGUAAUUAAGCUGUCGCAAGCUUAGACUACACACAGGACCACCAACUAUAGUCGCAACGACCAACACUCCCCCACGAAAGCUAGGACACAAACUGGGAUUAGAUACCCCACUAUGCCUAGCCCUAAAUCUAGAUGCUUCCAUCCACCAAAGCAUCCGCCCGAGAACUACGAGCAUAAACGCUUGAAACUCUAAGGACUUGGCGGUGCUCUAAACCCACCUAGAGGAGCCUGUUCUAUAAUCGAUGACCCACGCUACACCCAACCCCCUCUUGCAGAGCAGCCUACAUACCGCCGUCGCCAGCCCACCUUCCCUGAAAGUACCACAGCCGGCACAACAGUCCCCCACUAAUAAGACAGGUCAAGGUAUAGCCCAUGAGGGGGCAGAAAUGGGCUACAUUACCUAACUUAGGUUACACGAAAGGGGCCAUGAAAGCUGUCCCCGGAAGGCGGAUUUAGUAGUAAAGGGGGACAAUAAUACUCCCUUUAAACAGGCCCUGGAGCACGUACAUACCGCCCGUCACCCUCCUCGCAAGCCCAUUCCACAGCAUAAUUAAUACCACACACUCGCUGAAGAUGAGGUAAGUCGUAACAAGGUAAGUGUACCGGAAGGUGCACUUAGCAUACC
rnacentral:ncRNA from 1 species